AUUGAACGCUGGCGGCAGGCCUAACACAUGCAAGUCGAACGGUAACAGGAAACAGCUUGCUGUUUCGCUGACGAGUGGCGGACGGGUGAGUAAUGUCUGGGAAACUGCCUGAUGGAGGGGGAUAACUACUGGAAACGGUAGCUAAUACCGCAUAACGUCGCAAGACCAAAGAGGGGGACCUUCGGGCCUCUUGCCAUCGGAUGUGCCCAGAUGGGAUUAGCUAGUAGGUGGGGUAACGGCUCACCUAGGCGACGAUCCCUAGCUGGUCUGAGAGGAUGACCAGCCACACUGGAACUGAGACACGGUCCAGACUCCUACGGGAGGCAGCAGUGGGGAAUAUUGCACAAUGGGCGCAAGCCUGAUGCAGCCAUGCCGCGUGUAUGAAGAAGGCCUUCGGGUUGUAAAGUACUUUCAGCGGGGAUGAGGGGAGUAAAGUUAAUACCUUUGCUCAUUGACGUUACCCGCAGAAGAAGCACCGGCUAACUCCGUG
rnacentral:rRNA from 1 species